rnacentral:rRNA from 1 species
CCCGCUGAACUUAAGCAUAUCAAUAAGCGGAGGAAAAGAAACUAACAAGGAUUCCCCUAGUAACUGCGAGUGAAGCGGGAAGAGCUCAAAUUUAAAAUCUGGCGUGCCUCUGGUCGUCCGAGUUGUAGUCUGGAGAAGCGUUAUCCGUGUUGGACCGUGUAUAAGUCUCUUGGAACAGGGCGUCAUAGAGGGUGAGAAUCCCGUCUUUGACACGGACUACCAAUGCUUUGUGAUGCGCUCUCAAAGAGUCGAGUUGUUUGGGAAUGCAGCUCAAAAUGGGUGGUAAAUUCCAUCUAAAGCUAAAUACAGGCGAGAGACCGAUAGCGAACAAGUACCGUGAGGGAAAGAUGAAAAGCACUUUGGAAAGAGAGUUAAACAGUACGUGAAAUUGCUGAAAGGGAAACGCUUGAAGUCAGUCACGUCUGCCAGGACUCAGCCUCGCUUCUGCUUGGUGUAUUUUCUGGUCUGACGGGCCAACAUCAAUUUUGACCGUUGGAGAAAGGCGUUGGGAAUGUGGCACCUUCGGGUGUGUUAUAGCCCUUUGUUGUAUACAACGGUCGGGAUUGAGGACUGCAGCAUGCCUUCAUGGCCGGGGUUCGCCCACGUACGUGCUUAGGAUGUUGGCAUAAUGGCUUUAAGCGACCCGUCUUGAAACACGG